UCCGAAUUGGUGUAGUGGCUAACAUUUGACGCUCUCACUUGGUCUUCGUCUGAAGGUCUUCGUGUGCCGUCAAGCCCGGGGUUCGAUUCCCCGAUUCGGAG